rnacentral:rRNA from 1 species
UACGGGGGGGGUAAGCGUUGUUCGGAAUUACUGGGCGUAAAGGGCUCGUAGGCGGCCAACUAAGUCAGACGUGAAAUCCCUCAGCUUAACUGGGGAACUGCGUCUGAUACUGGAUGGCUUGGAUCCGGAAGAGGGAUGCGGAAUUCCAGGUGUAGCGGUGAAAUGCGUAGAUAUCAAGAGGAACACCUGAGGUGAAGACGGGUUGCUGGGCUGACACUGACGCUGAGGCGCGAAAGCCAGGGGAGCAAACGGG